AUACGGAGGGUGCGAGCGUUAUCCGGAUUUAUUAGGUUUAAAGGGUGUGUAGGCGGGAGCCUAAGUCAGUGGUGAAAUCUCACAGCUUAACUGUGAAACUGCCAUUGAAACUGGGUUUCUUGAGUAUAGUUGAGGUAGGCGGAAUGUGUAAUGUAGCGGUGAAAUGCAUAGAUAUUACACAGAACACCGAUUGCGAAGGCAGCUUACUAAGCUAUUACUGACGCUGAUGCACGAAAGCGUGGGUAGCGAACAGGAUUAGAAACCACAGUAGUCC
rnacentral:rRNA from 1 species